rnacentral:snRNA from 1 species
GUACUCACCUGGAGGGGGCGCCACCAUGCUCACGCAGGCAGUUUUCCCAGCGCGAGACUGAUCCAUGGCACUGCGGAUGUGCUGAGCCCUGCGCUUUCCCCAAGUGUGGAGAAGGACUGGGUAAUUCGUGGUAGUGGGGAACGGCAUUGGUGCGUAA